UCAUGUGAUCGUCUCUCGCAUAUCAAUAAGCGGAGGAAAAGAAACUAACAAGGAUUCCCCUAGUAACGGCGAGUGAAGCGGGAAGAGCUCAAAUUUGAAAUCUUAAAGGGUUUCCCUUUACGAAUUGUAGUUUAAAGAAGUGUUUUCUGUUGAGGUUUUGGUAAAAGUUCCUUGGAAUAGGACAUCAUAGAGGGUGAGAAUCCCGUAUUUGACCUUUACUUUCAACUUUGUGAUACACUUUCAAAGAGUCGGAUUGUUUGGGAAUGCAGUCCAAAAUGGGUGGUAAAUUUCAUCUAAAGCUAAAUAUUGGCGAGAGACCGAUAGCGAACAAGUACCGUGAGGGAAAGAUGAAAAGAACUUUGAAAAGAGAGUUAAACAGUACGUGAAAUUGUCAAAAGGGAAGCGUUUGACACCAGUGUUGUUUUUCUGAAAAUCAAUUAAAGAACUGUUUAUGCUAAGUUGUUUAGACUUUAUCAGCUAACUGUUUAGUUUUGAGCUUUUCUUCAAUGCACUUUUCAGUUAACAAGUCAACAUCAAUUUCUUUUGCUGUAAAAAAGCUUGAGGAAGGUGGCUUGAGAUUCGUCUUAAGUGUUUAUAGCCUCUUGCCUAUGCAGUCGGAGAGAUUGAGGUCUGCAGCGUAGAUCCUUCGGGGCUAAAUGCAUUUGUGCUAAGUUAUAGCAUUUUAUAGACAACUUGUUGACUAUGAUUUGUCUUGUAGCUUACUCGCUUAUGUUAUUUUACCUACGCUUAGGAUGUUGACACACGCGCGUGCUCG
rnacentral:rRNA from 1 species